rnacentral:rRNA from 1 species
ACCUACAGAAGAAGCACCGGCUAACUCCGUGCCAGCAGCCGCGGUAAUACGGAGGGUGCGAGCGUUAAUCGGAAUUACUGGGCGUAAAAGCGCAUGCAGGCGGCCUGUUAAGUCAGAUGUGAAAAGCCCGGGCUUAAACCUCGGAAAUUGCAUUUGAAAACUGGCAGGCUAGAGUCUUGUAGAGGGGGUAGAAUUUCAGGUGUAGCGGUGAAAAUGCGUAGAGAUCUGAAGGAAUUACCAGUGGCGAAGGCGGCCCCCUGGACAAAGACUGACGCUCAGAUGCGAAAGCGUGGGGAGCAAACAGGAUUAGAUACCCUGGUAG